GUACAGUGAUCAUUCUGAAGAAAAGUGUGUGGUAGCUUCUGUGACUGAGCACA
rnacentral:snoRNA from 1 species